AGAUCCGGGGCCUAGGGGCCGCCUCCAGCGCCACAGGAUGUAGCCCCGGGCAGAGCCUGCCCUCCCGGCGUGUCUACCAUCACAGGGAGAUCUCUGCCCCCUGGGGCUGAGAGACCCCAACCUUUCCCCAAGCUGAAGCUGCAGGGCCUUGAGGUACCAGCCAGAUGUUCUUCUCACAAAGGAUCUGUGGUAGCACAGGGCAAUGGGGCUUUUGCCAGCAACAGGGAAACAGACACAGUGGAACUGGCUGAACUGGGACCCCUGCUAGAAGAGAAGGGCAAACGAGUGAUCGCCAAUCUGACCAAAGCUGAAGAAGAGCAAACAUGCCCAGUGCCCCAGGAAGAGGAGGAGGAGGUGCGGGUGCUGACGCUUCUCCUGCAAGCCCACCACGCCAUGGAGAAGAUGGAGGAGUUUGUGUAUAAGGUCUGGGAGGGACGCUGGAGGGUCAUCCCAUACGAUGUGCUCCCCGGCUGGCUGAAGGACAAUGACUACCUGCUACAUGGCCACAGGCCGCCCAUGCCCUCCUUUCGGGCUUGCUUCAAGAGCAUCUUCCGCAUCCACACAGAAACUGGCAACAUCUGGACCCAACUGCUUGGUUUUGUGCUGUUUCUGUUUUUGGGAAUCUUGACCAUGCUUAGACCAAAUAUGUACUUCAUGGCCCCUCUACAGGAGAAGGUGGUUUUUGGGAUGUUCUUUUUGGGUGCAGUGCUCUGCCUCAGCUUCUCCUGGCUCUUCCACACUGUCUAUUGUCAUUCAGAGAAAGUCUCUCGGACUUGUUCCAAACUGGACUAUUCAGGGAUCACUCUACUGAUUAUGGGGAGCUUUGUCCCCUGGCUCUAUUACUCCUUCUACUGCUCCCCACAGCCACGGCUCAUCUACCUCUCCAUCGUUUGUGUCCUGGGCAUUUCUGCCAUCAUUGGGUUUGCCACUCCUACGCACCGGCAGACGAGAGCAGGAGUGUUCCUGGGACUUGGUCUGAGUGGUGUGGUGCCCACCAUGCACUUCACCACCGCGGAGGGCUUCGUCAAGGCCACCACGGUGGGCCAGAUGGGCUGGUUCUUCCUCAUGGUUGUGAUGUACAUCACUGGAGCUGGCCUUUACGCUGCUCGAAUUCCUGAGUGCUUCUUUCCUGGAAAAUUGACAUAUGGUUCCAGUCUCAUCAGAUUUUCCAUAUCCUGGUGGUGGCGGCAGCUUUUGUCCACUUCUACGGGGUCUCCAACCUUCAGGAAUUCCGUUAUGGCCUGGAAGGUGGUGUACUGAUGACUCCCUUCUCUGAGCCUUCCCACCCGAAGGGUGGAGGAGGAGCUUCCCAAGUGCUUUUAAAAAAAACUUCUUUGCUGAAGUGAGAGGAAGAGUCUGAGUUGUCUGUUUCUAGAAGAAACCUCUUAGAGAAUUCAGUACCAAUCAAGCUUCAGCCCACUUUCACACCCACUGGGCAAUAAACGUAACAUGUCCAUUCCCCUAGCUGGGGAGCGUGGGGAUGGCCAAACUUAGUCAUCCCCCUCCUCAGCAAGGCAACUACCAGCCCCUCACAGAGACAGUACCUUGAAACUCAUGUUGAGAUUUUAUCCCUUCCUCCACCAUUUUGGGAAGAAAUUAUGGACUGGGACUCUUCAGAAAUUCUGGGGUUUUUUUUUCUGGAAGAAAAUGUCCCUUCCUUACCCCUAUCCUUACUUUGUAACCUGGCUUAUAACAGGCCAGCCAUUUUGUAGCACACUUUUCAAAAAUGAUUAUAUAACCUGGUCCCAUCUUUCUAGAGCUUGGAUCUGCUUACACAGCAGGAAGAAUAAAGCCACCAACUUUUACAUAGGCCGGCUAAUCAUGAAAGUGUGGCCAGGCUUCAAAUAACUUGAGUUUUAAUUUUUUUUUCUUGGCAGAGUAAUAUAAAAUUAAAAUGGGGAAAGAUAUUUAAUACUAAGCUUUAAAAAGAAACCUGCUAUCAUUGCUAUGUAUCUUGAUGCAAAGACUAUGAUGAUAAUAAAAGAAAGUACAGAAGACACUUGGCAUUCAAAGA